rnacentral:rRNA from 1 species
ACUGCUCAGUAACACGUGGACAACCUGCCCUUAGGUUGGGUAUAAACCCGGGAAACUGGGUAUAAUACCCGAUAGGUCUCGAUUGCUGGAAUGCAUCGAGAUUUAAAGCUCCGGCGCCUAAGGAUGGGUCUGCGGCCUAUCAGGUAGUAGUGGGUGUAGCGUACCUACUAGCCUACGACGGGUACGGGUUGUGAGAGCAAGAGCCCGGAGAUGGAUUCUGAGACACGAAUCCAGGCCCUACGGGGUGCAGCAGGCGCGAAAACUUUACAAUGCUGGCAACAGCGAUAAGGGAACCUCGAGUGCCAGGUUACAAAUCUGGCUGUCGAGAUGCCUAAAAAGCAUUUCAUAGCAAGGGCCGGGCAAGACCGGUGCCAGCCGCCGCGGUAACACCGGCGGCUCGAGUGGUAACCGUUAUUAUUGGGUCUAAAGGGUCUGUAGCCGGCCGGAUAAGUCUCUUGAGAAAUCUGGCAGCUUAACUGUCAGGCUUUCAGGAGAUACUGUCUGGCUCGAGGCCGGGAGAGGUGAGAGGUACUUCAGGGGUAGGGGUGAAAUCUUGUAAUCCUUGAAGGACCACCAGUGGCGAAGGCGCCUCACCAGAACGGACCUGACGGCAAGGGACGAAAGCUAGGGGCACGAACCGGAUUAGAUACCCGGGUAGUCCUAGCCGUAAACGAUACUCGCUAGGUGUCGGCCACGGUGCGACCGUUGUCGGUGCCGUAGGGAAGCCGUGAAGCGAGCCACCUGGGAAGUACGGCCGCAAGGCUGAAACUUAAAGGAAUUGGCGGGGGAGCAC